rnacentral:rRNA from 1 species
AGUGAACGCUGGCGGUAGGCCUAACACAUGCAAGUCGAACGGCAGCACAGUAAGAGCUUGCUCUUACGGGUGGCGAGUGGCGGACGGGUGAGGAAUACAUCGGAACCUACUUUUUCGUGGGGGAUAACGUAGGGAAACUUACGCUAAUACCGCAUACGACCUACGGGUGAAAGAAGGGGAUCUUCGGACCUUGCGCGAUUGAAUGAGCCGAUGUCGGAUUAGCUAGUUGGCGGGGUAAAGGCCCACCAAGGCGACGAUCCGUAGCUGGUCUGAGAGGAUGAUCAGCCACACUGGAACUGAGACACGGUCCAGACUCCUACGGGAGGCAGCAGUGGGGAAUAUUGGACAAUGGGCGCAAGCCUGAUCCAGCCAUACCGCGUGGGUGAAGAAGGCCUUCGGGUUGUAAAGCCCUUUUGUUGGGAAAGAAAAGCAGCAGGUUAAUACCCCGCUGUCCUGACGGUACCCAAAGAAUAAGCACCGGCUAACUUCGUG